CUACGGGUCGCUGCAGUGAGGAAUAUUGCACAAUGGGGGGAACCCUGAUGCAGCAACGCCGCGUGGAGGAUGACGCAUUUCGGUGUGUAAACUCCUCUUAUAUGUCAAGAAAAUGACGGUAGCAUAUGAAUAAGCACCGGCUAACUCCGUGCCAGCAGCCGCGGUAAUACGGAGGGUGCAAGCGUUACUCGGAAUCACUGGGCGUAAAGGACGCGUAGGCGGGUUGGAAAGUCAAGUGUGAAAUCCUACAGCUUAACUGUAGAACUGCACUUGAAACUUCUAAUCUAGAGUAUGGGAGGGGGAGAUGGAAUUAGUGGUGUAGGGGUAAAAUCCGUAGAUAUCACUAGGAAUACCUAAAGCGAAGGCGAUCUCCUGGAACAUUACUGACGCUAAGGCGUGAAAGCGUGGGGAGCAAACAGGAUUAGAUACCCUUGUAGUC
rnacentral:rRNA from 1 species